GAAAUGAACCCCGAACAAGGAAUCGAAUAGAGAUUUGCACGGAACGCAAAUCUGAGAUUAGUGGACGGCUUUGGAAAAAUAUGUUCAAGUGGUUAUCAAGAACGCAAGCUUUUGUGAUGUGAUCCGUUUUCGGUUGUUAUGUUUAGAACUUUGAAUAAUGUAGUUAAAGUUGUUGUUUCAAAUUUCAAUCAAGACAUAUGUAAUGUAAAUUAUGCUUUCGAAUCAAAUGUAGGGAUGAACAUCUUUUAUGUUUCAAA